AUUGAACGCUGGCGGCAGGCCUAACACAUGCAAGUCGAACGGUAACAGGAAGAAGCUUGCUUCUUUGCUGACGAGUGGCGGACGGGUGAGUAAUGUCUGGGAAACUGCCUGAUGGAGGGGGAUAACUACUGGAAACGGUAGCUAAUACCGCAUAGCGUCGCAAGACCAAAGAGGGGGACCUUCGGGCCUCUUGCCAUCGGAUGUGCCCAGAUGGGAUUAGCUAGUAGGUGGGGUAACGGCUCACCUAGGCGACGAUCCCUAGCUGGUCUGAGAGGAUGACCAGCCACACUGGAACUGAGACACGGUCCAGACUCCUACGGGAGGCAGCAGUGGGGAAUAUUGCACAAUGGGCGCAAGCCUGAUGCAGCCAUGCCGCGUGUAUGAAGAAGGCCUUCGGGUUGUAAAGUACUUUCAGCGGGGAGGAAGGGAGUAAAGUUAAUACCUUUGCUCAUUGACGUUACCCGCAGAAGAAGCACCGGCUAACUCCGUG
rnacentral:rRNA from 1 species